rnacentral:lncRNA from 1 species
AGUGUCCUGGUCCUCUCGAUUCCUCAUGAAGAGCUGUCUAAUGGAUUCUUAAUUUCCCGUCACUGUGGCAGGGGCAUAGGCAUCAGGAUUUUCAUACACCUGUUCAUUCAUGCCUGCGUUUAUUCUGAACUUCCCGGCCACCGGAAGUCAGGAGGCCUGGGCCUAGAUGUGACCCCUGCCACCAACCCGCUGUGUCACUUUCAUCAGAUCUCGGCUGCACCCUGGGCUCACUUUGUUCCCGUGCCGAAGCGAAGGUGGGGGUGCUGGACCGACGGACAAGCUCCUCACCGCCAUCAGAAAGGCCUUGGCAAUGCGGUCCAGCUGGGGUCCGGGUGUGCUACAGGAUGCCCGACUCCAAGCUGGAGCAAAACUUGAGUCUUGGCUUCACAGCGAGCAGAGGACUGUCGGUUUCCUGCUGGCCUGUGGUCUGUGUCCAGCCCCAGCUGGCGUCUGGGAAUGGAGGGAAGCGGGACAGGAAGUGAAAUCUGGGUCACCAGCCCACCCAGCCUCCCCACUCCACCACCCACGUUCCCAGGCUCGCUCUGCCUGCCUCUGAACCGAGCCUCCUCACAGACCACGGCGGUGGCCCAGGCCCCGUGCAGUCUCUGCCCCCGUCGAGGGGAGGAGCAGGGAACAUGGGCAGGAGGUCGAGCCUACUUCCCAGAAGAGGCCGCGCAGCUCUUCCCGAGCGAACAGAAUGCAGAGAAGUCAGCGUUCCCAAGUUCAAGGCCAAGGCAGGGCGGAGGUCCCCGCAGAGGCGGAUGCCUUCC